rnacentral:rRNA from 1 species
CCUACGGGUGGCAGCAGUGGGGAAUAUUGCACAAUGGGCGCAAGCCUGAUGCAGCCAUGCCGCGUGUGUGAAGAAGGCCUUCGGGUUGUAAAGCACUUUCAGCGGGGAGGAAGGCGGUGAGGUUAAUAACCUCAUCGAUUGACGUUACCCGCAGCAGAAGCACCGGCUAACUCCGUGCCAGCAGCCGCGGUAAUACGGAGGGUGAAGCGUUAAUCGGAAUUACUGGGCGUAAAGCGCACGCAGGCGGUCUGUCAAGUCGGAUGUGAAAUCCCCGGGCCCAACCUGGGAGCUGCAUUCGAAACUGGCGGGCUAGAGUGUUGUAGAGGGGGGUAGAAUUCCAGGUGUAGCGGUGAAAUGCGUAGAGAUGUGGAGGAAUACCGGUGGCGAAGGCGGCCCCCUGGACAAAGACUGACGCUCAGGUGCGAAAGCGUGGGGAGCAAACAGGAUUAGAUACCCCUGUAGGC